rnacentral:rRNA from 1 species
GACGAACGCUGGCGGCGUGCUUAACACAUGCAAGUCGAACGGAAAGGCCCUGCUUUUGUGGGUUGCUCGAGUGGCGAACGGGUGAUUAACACGUGAGUAACCUGCCCUUGACUUUGGGAUAACUUCAGGAAACUGGGGCUAAUACCGGAUAUGAGCUCCUGCUGCAUGGUGGGGGUUGGAAAGUUUCUGCGGUUGGGGAUGGACUCGCGGCUUAUCAGCUUGUUGGUGGGGUAGUGGCUUACCAAGGCUUUGACGGGUAGCCGGCCUGAGAGGGUUACAGGCCACAUUGGGACUAAGAUACGGCCCAAACUACUACGGAAGGAAGCAGUGGGGAAUAUUGAACAAUGGGCGGAAGCCUGAUGCAGAAACGCGGAGUGCGGGAUGACGGACUUCGGGUUGUAAACCGCUAUCGCCUGUGACGAAGCGUGAGUGACGGUAAUGGGUAAAGAAGCACCGGCUAACUACGUG